ACCCUUUGCUUCCUAGGAAACCCUGGAGGACAUCGACAAGAACGGGGAUGGGUUUGUGGAUCAGGAUGAGUAUAUUGACAAGGAAACUUCAGGCUCAGUCACUGAACUAAGUCAAAAGCCAGGAUUUAUCUUUUGGCUUCUAAACUCAGUUCUUUCUACUCCACCACAUGGCCUUCAUCAUGAAUAAAUUAUUGCAUCAUUAUCCCCAAGAAACUGCCUACCAGCUGUUUGAGUUAGGUCUCUGGAUUGGUCAUCGCCUUUCCUAGAGCUCAGGAGGUCAAGUUCUUUUUUUAGGGGGCGCUUACCUUCCCACUUUCCUUUGUAACCAACAACAACCUUCCCUUCUAGCGGAUAUGUUUUCCCAUGAGGAGAAUGGCCCUGAGCCAGACUGGGUUUUAUCAGAACGGGAGCAGUUUAAUGAAUUCCGGGAUCUGAACAAGGACGGGAAGUUGGACAAAGAUGAGAUUCGCCACUGGAUCCUCCCUCAAGAUUACGAUCAUGCACAGGCUGAGGCCAGGCAUCUGGUAUAUGAGUCAGACAAAAACAAGGAUGAGAAGCUAACUAAAGAGGAAAUAUUGGAGAACUGGAACAUGUUUGUUGGAAGCCAAGCUACCAAUUAUGGGGAAGAUCUCACAAAAAAUCAUGAUGAGCUUUGAUAGACACUCACCAGAAUAUGGCAGACUGUCAUAGGCAUUCUGUUAUUGUCUUGGAAUGUUGCUACAAUUGUCUAAUUUACAGCAGUUGUGAUCCCACAAAAAGCAAGUUUAUACCUCGGAUUGGGGUAUA
rnacentral:sRNA from 1 species